GUGCUCGUUUUGGCCGCACGUACACAGAGACUGGACCCACACAGAGAAGAUUGGCAGGGCCUCUGGGCAAGGAUGACGUGCAGAUUCGUGCAGCGUUCCAUAUUUAA